UACAGAGGUCUCAAGCGUUGUUCGGAAUUACUGGGCGUAAAGCGCACGUAGGCGGCUUUGUAAGUUAGAGGUGAAAGCCCGGGGCUCAACUCCGGAACUGCCUUUAAGACUGCAUCGCUUGAAUCCAGGAGAGGUGAGUGGAAUUCCGAGUGUAGAGGUGAAAUUCGUAGAUAUUCGGAAGAACACCAGUGGCGAAGGCGGCUCACUGGACUGGUAUUGACGCUGAGGUGCGAAAGCGUGGGGAGCAAACAGG
rnacentral:rRNA from 1 species